CCACCUCCGGCCAGCUGCUUCCGGCGACAUUCUGGCGAGUCUUCCGGCCGGCAAGGUUCAAGUGUGGGUUUUGAAUCAACUCUAGAGAAGAGUUUGAUUUCUUGAAUUGAAGACACUAACAAGCUUCAAGGUGAGUUGUUUUUGAUGUCGGUACUACUGAUCAGCAGAAGGGGACGUGAUCGUGGUGGCCUGGACGAGUGAUUAGCUUAUGUGUUGGACUUUGGAUGUCCUCUGUUAGUUUGGGAUUAUACAUAUACAUAUAUAUAUAUGUAUAUUAUGAGAUUGUUUUCGGAAUUUAUGUUGGAUGACCCGGAGGGUGUUCCAGAAUAUUGGGACUCCUGUGUCUGGUAGCAUGGUUGUGGCAGUGGACCCUGAGGGUCUUGACUGGAUUGAUUCUGAUUGUUGUUGGAUGUUAUUAGAUUAUUAUGAAUUGGUUGGGUUUUCUGUA